AGGGUGUGCUCAGAGCAGGUGGCCUGAAGAAUGGCUUCUCUGUUUACAACACACCCAAUAAGAAUUUAGGGUCAUUGUGGCAAGGGUCACAAAACUUGCAGCCUCCCUUUGAGCAAAUGUCCUACACAU
rnacentral:snoRNA from 1 species